rnacentral:rRNA from 1 species
AUUGAACGCUGGCGGAAUGCUUUACACAUGCAAGUCGAACGGCAGCACGGACUUCGGUCUGGUGGCGAGUGGCGAACGGGUGAGUAAUAUAUCGGAACGUGCCCAGUCGUGGGGGAUAACGUAGCGAAAGCUACGCUAAUACCGCAUACGAUCUACGGAUGAAAGCGGGGGAUCGCAAGACCUCGCGCGAUUGGAGCGGCCGAUAUCAGAUUAGGUAGUUGGUGAGGUAAAGGCUCACCAAGCCGACGAUCUGUAGCUGGUCUGAGAGGACGACCAGCCACACUGGGACUGAGACACGGCCCAGACUCCUACGGGAGGCAGCAGUGGGGAAUUCUGGACAAUGGACGCAAGUCCGAUCCAGCCAUUCCGCGUGCAGGACGAAGGCCUUCGGGUUGUAAACUGCUUUUGUACAGAACGAAAAGGUCUCUAUUAAUACUAGGGGCUCAUGACGGUACUGUAAGAAUAAGCACCGGCUAACUACGUGCCAGCCGCCGCAGUAA